rnacentral:tRNA from 1 species
GGUGCCGUAACCAAGCACGGUAAGGGUCCCGCCUUGAGAGCGGGUUGCAUCACACGAUGUCGAGGGUUCAAAUCCCUCCGGCACCG